rnacentral:rRNA from 1 species
CCCUUAGAUGUUCUGGGCCGCACGCGCGCUACACUGUUCGACGCAGCGAGUCUUAACCUUGACCGAAAGGUUUGGGUAAUCUUCAGCAAAGUCGAACGUGAUGGGGAUCAAUCAUUGCAAUUAUUGAUCGUGAACGAGGAAUUCCUAGUAAGUGCAAGUCAUCAGCUUGCGCUGAUUACGUCCCUGCCCUUUGUACACACCGCCCGUCGCUACUACCGAUUGAAUGGUUUAGUGAGAUCUCUGGAUUGACGCUGGCUAGGGGGCGACCCUUGGCCAGACUGUUGAGAAACUGCUCAAACUUGAUCAUUUAGAGGAAGUAAAAGUCGUAACA